AUGGCAAGCUUUUGGUGCACCUCGGCGAAGCCUUUUUGCACGAAACUGUCACUGCGCCAAGCUGAAUCUGUCGGCACCUCCCCCUGCUGCGCCGCCACUCCCAUCUCGGCCUACCUCGGCCUGUGAAACUUGGAAACUGUCCGCCUCUCCCGUUUCGCCGGUCGAAACUAGCUCUGUGCGGGGUUCGCCUCACUGCGCCACCCCGCGCUGCGCCGGGAAACUAGAGUCCUUAAUAACCAAUAAAUAAAACUUGGGUCUUGUGGUGAAAACAUGGCUUGGAGUGAAACCAUUUUGUUUCCGUUUAGAAGAACAAUCAGGCCAUUAAAGGACCAUACAAGUGAUUUAGAAUAUUUGACCCAUUUAUGAUAAUUUACCCACAUUUUACAUUACAACAAGUCAUUUUGCAAAUCAUGCAGGGGUACUAAAGAUUUCACAACAUACAAUCAAAAUCCCUUGAUUUUUAAAUAUGAAUUUUUGGUUGAAACACCCACCUCUGCUUCUGUCACUAACAGUAUCAUUGCCAUUCAUAAACCUUAGAACUGAUAAUUGGGUGUGUAAAACAGACUUUUGCCUUGAGACUAUUUACUGCCAGAGAGCCUGUCUCAUUCUGCCAAAUUUCAAGUGAAGACUAACGUAGACAACUUUAUUAUGAUAAUGGAAUACUGGUGUGAAGAAAGUUUGAAGCCUCUGAAAGUUCAUUUUCAUAUUGUAGUGGACUAAAUGGAAACCAAUAGCUGGUUAAAAGGUAGGAAAUGUGAUACCAGAGUUCCAAAAUACCACUGCUUGCUUUGGGAAAAGAUUAAAAAUAACGUAAAGUAUAUACAUUUUAUAGAUAUUAGGCUAAUUUGUUGAGGGAUGGAAGAGGAAUGGCAUCCUUUCAAUUGCCACUAACCAAAAAGUGAGAGUGCCAACUCUCCAAGAUGAAGUGAGUAGUUUUGCUGGAGUCAACCAAAAUUACCUGUUUCUCUGGGGAGAUGUCCUCUGAUGGCAGUGGGGCUUCAUCAUCCAAGAGUGGGACCAGCAAGAGGCCCUGGGCCCGGUCCCAGUACUGCAGGAUGUGGUCCACCUGGACCUGGUUUUGUUCAUAGGCCUGGAACUGAGACAGCAGGUCAUCUUCACUGGACUGCAGUGGAGAGAGCUGAGCAGAUGGGAAGAGGACCAAGAAUAAGAUCACAAUUCCUGUUCUCAGCGAGCAGCGGGUGCAGUCUGGAGAGGAGCAGAGAGGAGACCCUCACCACUCCGCGUCCACUCCGCGACACAAUUCCAGAAAAUGUCAAUCAUAUAAAACAAUACUAUGUUAAUAAAAAUAAUGCUUAGUAGUCUGUAGUAAAUUUGUAGUUCUAAAACAUAUGUCAUUGUUAUUUUUGCACUAUAAGCUAAAAUGUUGUAAAAUUAUGUUAUUUGGGUCAUUUUUGAAAUUUGCACAGAAUGAAAACAAACUGUG
rnacentral:lncRNA from 1 species